rnacentral:lncRNA from 1 species
AUGCCUCCUUUGGAAAGGCCCUUCAAAGCACCAGCUCCUUACACAAAUGGAAAGACAUUAAAGAUUCUUGAUGGAGUGAAGACCAAGGAUGUAAGGAAUCAAGGGCGGAGGGGUUGGACUUGGAAAUGUAGAUCAAGGAUGUUGCUGUGGCAACACUUAAGACUUGUGGCACUAGAAUGUGGCUGGGUCAGAAUACACCAGAAUCUGCAGCUCUGGGUAUGUCCAUAGCUCUUUGUUUAUGGAAUUUAUCAUUUUUUAGCUGUAUGUAAUUUGUUUGGUUAUUUGUGUAACUGUCCAGGAGAUAGCUUUUAGAACUCCCACGGCCUCGUGUAAUAUCUUGUUGGAAGGAAGAAGGGGAGGGAGGGAGGGAGGAAGGAAUAUUAGUAUGGAGCUAGAGUCAGAGAAGUGGGCCUAGAAAAACACUGUUGUCAUUAAGCUCUCCCACCUUCUGUGUACCACUCUGUUGGCUCUCUUUUACGUCUCUAUCCAAUUUCUUUUUUUUUUUUUAGGAAGAUUAGCCCUGAGCUAACAUCUUCCACCAGUCCUCCCCUUUUUGCUGAGGAAGACUGGCCCUGAGCUAACAUCUGUGCCCAUCUUCCUCUACUUUAUCUGUGGGACACCUACCACAGCAUGGCUUGCCAAGUGGUGCCAUGCCCGCACCCAGGAUCCGAACUGGUGAACCCCAGGCCGCUGAAGCUGAAUGUGCGAACUUAACUGCUGCGCCACCGGGCUGGCCCCUCUAUCCAAUUUGUUGAUGAUCCUAGCCUUAAAGAGGAGUAAUUCCAAGAUCUUUUCUUUGUUGUCAUGAAUUGAUUCAGCAAUUUUAAUCCCCAUCAGUAGUAAUAAUAUUUCCAAUAUUUCAAUUGGAAAUACUAUGUAUUGUAGGAUUUAAAAUAGGCUGUGCUGAAUAAUUCAUGGGUCUAUUGUAUAUGGUCUUGUCCAUCCUCCUUUUUCGAAGUUUGAUUUUUAUGUUUCUGUUAGCCCUGGGAUCAGUAACUUCUGAGAUAUAAAAAGAAAAAGAAACUUAACAUUGCUUUCCCU